GAAAAAAAAAAACACCCAAAAUUUUCAAACUGGCAUUAUCAAAAAGGAAAAAAAAAACACCCAAUCUCUUCUUCUUCACACAGUCCCAUCUCCAUCUUCAAACGCACAAUUUCCUCCAUGCCUCUCUCUACAUACACGUUCCCCUGCCUCCAAUCUUUGUCCCUUCUCUACCUUCAAACCCUUAAACUAUAGUCCGCAGGCGCCAGCCACCUACUCCUUUAGUGGCAGAAAGUUUUUGAUUUUGAGACUUUACCAUCUGACCAGAUUCUCUCCGCAAACAUUACCGACACAUCUAAGAAUUUGGAAGCCCAUUUUGAAGAAUGCUAGCACUCUAGCAGAGAAGUUCUCCUUGGAAGUCACACAAGAUCUAUGUUUAUUUGUACUCCCUCAAAUAGCAGCAUAAUUAGGGAGGAGUACAUAAAUUUGAUUUUGGAAGAUGUUGGAAAAGUCAAUAUCAAGAGGGAGAGCAAAAAACUUUAGGU